AUUGAACGCUGGCGGCAGGCCUAACACAUGCAAGUCGAACGGUAACAGAAAGCAGCUUGCUGCUUUGCUGACGAGUGGCGGACGGGUGAGUAAUGUCUGGGAAACUGCCUGAUGGAGGGGGAUAACUACUGGAAACGGUAGCUAAUACCGCAUAACGUCGCAAGACCAAAGAGGAGGACCUUCGGGCCUCUUGCCAUCGGAUGUGCCCAGAUGGGAUUAGCUAGUAGGUGGGGUAACGGCUCACCUAGGCGACGAUCCCUAGCUGGUCUGAGAGGAUGACCAGCCACACUGGAACUGAGACACGGUCCAGACUCCUACGGGAGGCAGCAGUGGGGAAUAUUGCACAAUGGGCGCAAGCCUGAUGCAGCCAUGCCGCGUGUAUGAAGAAGGCCUUCGGGUUGUAAAGUACUUUCAGCGGGGAGGAAGGGAGUAAAGUUAAUACCUUUGCUCAUUGACGUUACCCGCAGAAGAAACACCGGCUAACUCCGU
rnacentral:rRNA from 1 species